rnacentral:ncRNA from 1 species
GAAAAAAUGAAGAAGAGAAGAGUAGUCCAAUGCAAGCGAUACAGAGACUCCGGUAGCUGAAAAAGGAGACGUGAUGCAAAGAUGAAGAUGAACUUGGAGUUUUUAUUUGGUGCAAGCUAAAUAAACGGGUGAGCGUCCGUUAUAUGCGCAUGACCAAUGAGGCACAGCUAUGUGCAAAUUAGGGUGGUACCACGAAUAUUCGUCCCUUUA